GGAUAUGAGGGCCAUCUGGCUGUGACAUCUGUCACCCCAUUGAUCGCCAGGGUUAAUUCGGCUGAUCUGGCUGGCUAGGCAGGUGUCACCUUCCUCCCUCACCUCUCCAUGUGUGUCCCUCCCAAAGCUGCGUGCUCUGGGUCAAAGGAUGGCCUUCUCCCAAUAGAGAAGAUGGACAGGUCUUCAGUCGAGGGUAUAAGAGUACCUGCACUCCCCUGCUAGAACCUCCAAACAAGCUCUCAAGACAGCUGAGCAGUACUGUUCUUCCUCUCUCUCU
rfam:Erinaceus europaeus unplaced genomic scaffold scaffold00467, whole genome shotgun sequence